rnacentral:rRNA from 1 species
UACGGGGGGGGCAAGCGUUGUUCGGAAUUACUGGGCGUAAAGCGUGCGCAGGCGGUCUUGCAAGACAGAUGUGAAAUCCCCGGGCUUAAACCUGGGAACUGCAUUUGUGACUGCAAGGCUGGAGUGCGGCAGAGGGGGAUGGGAAUUCCGCGUGUAGCAGUGAAAUGCGUAGAUAUGCGGAGGAACACCGAUGGCGAAGGCAAUCCCCUGGGCCUGCACUGACGCUCAUGCACGAAAGCGUGGGGAGCAAACAGG